GUGCCAGCCGCCGCGGUAAUACAGAGGGGGCAAGCGUUGUUCGGAAUUACUGGGCGUAAAGGGCGCGUAGGCGGCCGACUAAGUCAGACGUGAAAUCCCAUGGCUCAACCAUGGAACUGCGUCUGAUACUGGAUGGCUUGAGUUCGGGAGAGGGAAGUGGAAUUCCAGGUGUAGCGGUGAAAUGCGUAGAUAUCUGGAGGAACACCGGUGGCGAAGGCGGCUUCCUGGACCGACACUGACGCUGAGGCGCGAAAGCCAGGGGAGCAAACGGGAUUAGAUACCCUAGUAGUCC
rnacentral:rRNA from 1 species